rnacentral:rRNA from 1 species
UACGUAGGGCGCAAGCGUUGUCCGGAAUUAUUGGGCGUAAAGAGCUCGUAGGCGGUUCGUCGCGUCUGCUGUGAAAACCUAAGGCUCAACCUUGGGCUUGCAGUGGGUACGGGCAGACUAGAGUGCGGUAGGGGUGACUGGAAUUCCUGGUGUAGCGGUGGAAUGCGCAGAUAUCAGGAGGAACACCGAUGGCGAAGGCAGGUCACUGGACCGGUACUGACGCUGAGGCGCGAAAGCGUGGGUAGCAAACAGG